rnacentral:rRNA from 1 species
ACGCCCAACACACAAAACAAGCGGUGAAUGCUUUGGGGUGGGGUGACUGCGUACCUUUUGUAUAAUGGGUCAGCGACUUAUAUUCUGUAGCAAGGUUAACCGAAUAGGGGAGCCGGAGGGAAACCGAGUCUUAAUUGGGCGUUAAGUUGCAGGGUAUAGACCCGAAACCCGGUGAUCUAGCCAUGGGCAGGUUGAAGGUUGGGUAACACUAACUGGAGGACCGAACCGACUAAUGUUGAAAAAUUAGCGGAUGACCUGUGGCUGGGGGUGAAAGGCCAAUCAAACCGGGAGAUAGCUGGUUCUCCCCGAAAGCUAUUUAGGUAGCGCCUCGUGAAUUCAUCUCCGGGGGUAGAGCACUGUUUCGGCUAGGGGGCCAUCCCGGCUUACCAACCCGAUGCAAACUGCGAAUACCGGAGAAUGUUAUCACGGGAGACACACGGCGGGUGCUAACGUCCGUCGUGAAGAGGGAAACAACCCAGACCGCCAGCUAAGGUCCCAAAGUCAUGGUUAAGUGGGAAACGAUGUGGGAAGGCCCAGACAGCCAGGAUGUUGGCUUAGAAGCAGCCAUCAUUUAAAGAAAGCGUAAUAGCUCACUGGUCGAGUCGGCCUGCGCGGAAGAUGUAACGGGGC